UGGUUUCGAGGCAAAGAAUAUUGCAAAGAAAAUGGAACAAUAACUAUUUUUGGAAACGUGGCUGCACCAAAAAUAGCUAGACAAAUUAAAUUACAAUUAAUGUGGUGGUCGUGUCUGCCUAUUUGGUAGUUUCAACUCUGGUCGCGUCUCAAUAAAAUCGCUUGUUACAUCGUCCAUGGGGCCCAUGCUGUUUAGCAGAUAAGUAGCAUCCAGUUUGAUUGGAAAACUCUGUCCUCGUGUAUGCCCAUGUGAAUGUGGGUGUAUUCACGAGGACGACCUUUUCCCGUCAUUCAACUCUCCAGAGGACGGAGCAACUGCUGUGGAUAAGCCUGGCUGUAUUUCCCAGGCUUAAAGGCUUAACCUUAUGCGAACCUGAGGCUUUGUCAUUUUCUCGUCAGUUCAGCCCAAUCAACACGUCCACCCAAAUGACAUGGAAUUAUUCGCCACUCGAUUCGAGUUUUCAAUUGUUGCAAAAGAUGGCCAUUCAACGAGGAAGGAGCAGACGCCACUGAUGGGGUCGUCACACGUUUCAUUUGGUGUCGCUCGGAAAGUGGCUGCCGCUCCAAGUGCUUCAACCCAACCGCGUGGCUUUGCGCCCCAUCAAGUUAAUGAGAUCCCUCUCGUAACAACUGAUUAAGAUUGACUGCAAAACUUGUUGUCAGUCUUUCCGUUUCAAUCAAACGUCGGCAAUCCUUUGACUGCCUUGGAG